rnacentral:rRNA from 1 species
GUGUAAGUGCAGUAAUGUAUUGAGCUAACUUGUACUAAUUACCCGUGAGGCUUAACCAUACAACACCUAAGUAGU